GUGGUUCCAUAGUGCAGUGGUUAGCUCGUCUGCUUUACAUGCAGAAGGUCCUAAGUUUGAUGACCAGUGACCACA